GACGAACGCUGGCGGCGUGCUUAACACAUGCAAGUCGAACGAAGUGGGAACGGGUGAGUAACACGUGGGUAACCUCCCAUCAGAGGGGAUAACACUUGGAAACAGGUGCUAAACCGAUCCUGAUGGAUGGACUCGCGGUGCAUUAGCCAGUUGGGGAGGUAACGGCUAACCAAGGCCACGAUGCAUAGCCGACCGGAGAGGGUGAUCAGGCAAACUGGAACUUGGACACGGCCCAGACUCCUACGGGAGGUAGCAGUAGGGAAUCUUCGGCAAUGGACGAAAGUCUGACCGAGCAACGCCGCGUGAGUGAAGAAGGUUUUCGGAUCGUAAACCUCUGUUGUUAGAGAAGCGGUAUCUAACCAGAAAGCCACGGCUAACUACGUGCCAGCAGCCGCGGUAAUAC
rnacentral:rRNA from 1 species